UACGUAGGGUCCAAGCGUUAUCCGGAAUUACUGGGCGUAAAGCGUGCGUAGGCGGUGCGUUAAGUGAGAUGCGAAAUCUUGUGGCUCAACCAUAUAGACUGUAUCUCAUACUGGCGUACUUGAGGAUGGCAGAGGCAAGUGGAAUUGGUAGUGUAGCAGUGACAUGCGUAGAUAUUACCAGGAACACCAAUGGCGAAGGCAGCUUGCUGGGCCAUUUCUGACGCUGAGGCACGAAAGCGUGGGGAGCGAACAGG
rnacentral:misc_RNA from 1 species